CACACCGCCCGUCACACCAUGGAAGUUGAUUGUACCAGAAGUCGGUAGCUUAACCGCAAGGAGAGCGCCGCCCACGGUGUGGUCAAUGACUGGGGUG
rnacentral:rRNA from 1 species